UCCCAUCAAGCCAAGUUCCCGGAGGAGAUCACCCAGCUCGUCAUGCUAAAGCACUUUUUCAAUGUGCUCCCCAACGAGAAGGCGACGACCCAUUCGUAUGUCAAUCAAUAUCAACUUUCGAUGCCAUUGACUGCACCUACCAUGGUGACCACGGGUAACGGGGAAUCAGGGUUCGAUUCCGUACAGGGACCCUGACAAAUGACUACCACAUGCAAGAAAGGCAGUAGGCAUGCAAAUGACCCACUCCCGACGCGGGAAGGUAGUGACGA